rnacentral:miRNA from 1 species
CUUGGUCAACAGGAAAGAGGCGGGACCUCCUGGCUCUUCCUCUGCAGCAUGGCUCAGACCUAGUACAAUGUUUAAGCUCCCCUCUCUUCCCUGUUCAG